GUGGGUACCACUAACUUGAAGGGAGAGCGAAAGAGGAGGAUCAGUAUUUGGACGAGGAAAGAAAAGGAGCUCAGUUUUAGAGAGAUUGAGUUUCAGAAAGCGGGAGGACAUUCAGUGAUGGAAGAAAGGCAAGAAGUGACAUGUUGCAGGACAGCAGGGGAGAGGUCCGGGGAGGAGAGAUAUAACUGGGUGUCAUCAGCGUACAGGUGUUAGUGGAAUCCAAAUGAGGCAAUA
rnacentral:lncRNA from 1 species